GCCGGGUGUGGUGGCGCAUGCCUGUAAUCCCAGCUACUCAGGAGGCUGAGGCAGGAGAAUCGCUUGUACCUGGGAGGCAGAGGUUGCAGUGAGCUGAGAGCGUGCCACUGCACUCCAGCCUGGGCAACAGAGCGAGACCCUGUCUCAA
rnacentral:SRP_RNA from 1 species